GGAAAGAGGAAGGGACUUGCCCAAGAUCACACAGUUCAGGUCUUCUGACUCCCAUUACCUCAUUUUUUCACAGACCAUACAUUGAGUGUGGAGCACCCACCAUGUGCCAGGCACAGUGCUAGCAUUGAAGACAAAAGAUGAAUAAGACUGACAAAGUUCCUGUCCUCACAGAGCUUAUAGUAAAGUUGGGGAGAAAACUGUAAACAACACAUAGAGAAAACCAGAGACUUCCGGUUUCCACUCUGGCAUGUAAGGAGCUUAGAAGUUGCUGCUCUAUCAAAUAACAAGUAGAAAGCUGAAAAAUCAACAACUCUUCUUAGAUGGAUAAAAGUGUGGUCACAGGGCCAACUACUGUCCUCAGAAACUGGAGAGACAGACAAGGAGAUACAAAGCAUCACAACUUAGACCAGAAACCCAGGAGCAGAAACCUCCCUGGGAACCAGAACUGGAGCUGGAAGACCUGAACUGUAAUUGAAGAAUUGUUGGUGGCUCAAUGUGGACAAGCCUGAGAUUUAAAAACUCCAGGGGACGCAGUCAUAGGGAGGCCACCACACUCUUGUGAAUUGUAUCUCUAGGAGCUCAACCAAGUCCUCAGAUUGCAUAUUGGAAAAAACUCCCUGUGCUUCUGGCAGGGGAGUGAAAAGUAAUCAUUUUGAAAUACACCAGAGCACUCUGUUCUUAAAAAGCCCUGCCCUUGGGAGAAACCAAUUCACCAGAGCCUAAUCUGCUUGGGUUUUAUCAGAGCCUGACUGACCUGGGGGAAGGAAAUAUUCAAUAUUCAAAUAUUCUAGUGGGCUCUAGUUUUCCAUAUGCAGGAAGGAAAACACUCAACUCCAGCCCACUCUAAGUAUCCUGUCCCACCUAAGGGGGGAAAAACUGAGAAGCGCUGGUGAUGUUCAUACUUCAGGGGCACAGCAUCACUCAAACACUGAGACUUAAUUAUAGGAUUAUAGAAGGCUUCCCUUCCCCAUGCCCUACCACCAUAUUACUAAAAGUUUAUUUACCACAGCUGCUUUCACACAAUACCUCAUGUCUACCUUUCAGUAAAAAAUGAAAAACAUUAAAAGUCAAAAAGUACAGUUUGAAGAGAUUGAACAAGCAUCGGACCAGACUCAGAUAUGGCAGGAAUGUUGCAGUUAUCAGAUCAGGAAUUUUUUUUAAACUAUGCUUAAUAUGCUAAGGGCUUUAAUGGAUAAAAUCGACAACAUUCAAGAACAGAUGGAUAAUGUAAGCAGAGAGAAGGAAAGUCUAAGAAAGAAUCAAAAAUAAAUACUAGAGAUCAAAAACACUCUAACAGAAAUGAAGAAUGCCUAUAAUGGGCUCAUUAGUAGGCUGGACACAUCUGAGGGGAAAAUCGCUGAGCUUGAGGACCUGACUAUAGAAACUUCCAAAACUGUAAUGCAAAGAGAAAAAAGACAGAAAAAAAAAAAAGAGAAGAGAAUAUCCAAGAACUGUGCGACAACCAAAAAAGGCGUAACAUAUGUGUAAUGGAAAUAUCAGAAGGAAAGGAAAGAAAAUAAAAAAUUGUUGAAGCAAUAAUGAUUAAGAAUUUCCCCAAAUUAAUGUCAGACACCACAUGACAGAUCCAGGAAGCUCAGAGAACACCAAGCAGGAUAAACGCCAAAGAAAAUACACAUGGGCAGAUCAUAUGCAAACUUUAGAAAAUCAAAGAUAAAGAAAAAAAUCUUGAAAGAAGCCAGAAGGAAAAACACCUUACUUAUAGAGAGCAAAGAUCACAAUUACAUCUGACUUCUCCUCAGAAACCAUGCAGGCAAGAAGACUUCAAUGAAGUGAAAUAUUUAAAGUGUUGAGAGAAAAAAGGCACCAACAUAGAAUUCUGUACCCUGCAAAUUAUCCUUCAAAAGUGAAGGAGAAAUGAAGACUUACUCGGACAAACAAAAAUUGAGGGAAUUUGUUGCCGGUAGACCUACCUUGCGAGAAUGUUAAAAGAUGUUCCUCUGUGACAAAGAAAAUGAUGCAGGGCAGAAACUCAGACCUACAUAAAGAAAGGAAGAGCAUCAGAGAAUGAAUAAAUGAAGAUGUUGCCAACCUCCAGUGAAACUGACAUGGUUGCAGCAGGACCCCUGCAAAUUGCUCCAGCUCUAAAUGGCAUGUUGCAUUGAACCUGUUAUGUAAUGGCAUUGAGCUCGUUAUAUAAUGGUCUGCACAUGCGCCCUGGCCAAGCCCAGUUGUUACACAGUCGUAACAUAGCCUCUGCACUCUGGUGCAUAAGACCUCCACCUGCACUAAGCUGGAGGGUGGGGGAAGCACUGCUUUGGGGGCUGUCCCGAGUGUUCUCCAAUGUUUGAGCAAGCAAUAAAACUUUCUCUUCACCCACUUCAGCUUGAUUGUGCUUUUCGGCUCUGCACUCACCAAGAGACGGCUGCACUGAGUUCAGUUACAAUUCCACAGUGGGGGAGGCUGUGCAUGUGUGUGGACAGGGGGUAUAUGGGAACUCUCUGUACUUU
rnacentral:lncRNA from 1 species